rnacentral:misc_RNA from 1 species
GCCGGUCGUACACCUGCG